AUUAAAACAACACAUUACGUUCUGGCAUAAUUGGUGUGAUAUAUAUCAUAAAAAGGAGUGAAAAAAAUGUGAAAUCUGCAGUUGUCUAGAUUUUGCAUGUUUGGCAAUUAAAUGAAACCUUCCACGAGAAUGUGGUGAACAAGAUUAACUUCUAAAUGCUGGUAUGGAAAGUAUUUGUUGACAGUUCCAAUAAGUAUGAAAAAUAUUCAACAGGAAAAAUCUUCUAAAAACUUAUUCAGUUCAAGUUACUAUAACAACCAGGAACUUCAAAGAAAUUGGGAUGUUUUGUUUCCCCAUGUUAUACAUCUUCCAAUGGUGCUUUAACACUGAUUGGUGCUGGUCCAGAGGUCUCCCUUAUUAGGUUCAUGCUAUUGGUUGCUGCUUCUGAUAUGAAAUAGAAGACUAACAAGAACAUAUGUAAUAUGUAUGUACAAGCAUCUCAAUCCCUUCAUCCUCAAAUAUUGGAAGUUGAGUAUCCUGAUAAAAGGCUUUCCCUUAAGUUUCCUUACUCCCUUUCCAUCCUACAAGCUGUACUUACAGCUUGAUUUGACUGUAGCAAAAGGUGUGGUUUACAGAUUUAUUGAUUUAUUUGUUUAUGUAGGUGAGGAGUGGUGUCACAUUCCAAGCCUUUGCUUAACCCUAUUGUUUUAAUCCACAUUGUGAAAUUCUUUAAGCUAACUAAAUGUCUAAAACAGCUGGCAAAAUCGCAUAUCACUGAAAAUAUCAGUUAUCACUUCUUCUUUGUUUCAUUUCUAAUUCAUUCUCAGCCAUCUAGUUCUCUCUCUCUCUCUCUCUCUCUCUCUCUCUCUCUCUCUCUCUCUCUCUCUCUCUCUCUGUUUCUGGAAUCUGCUUUUCCUUGUAGUGUUUACCUCACCUAUUCAGAAUGAAAGCCUCCACUUACCCUUUUUCCUUUUGCAGUUUAAGACAAUAAAAUUUAUAACUGGACACUCAAAUGGUUUAGCUAUGCAGAUUUUGAAUAGAUGUGUCUGACUCACCAUUUAUGAGAAUGAUGUCCACAAGAAAGGCCGGUAGAUUGAUUAAACAACUCCCAUAAAAGCUCAAACGAGAAUUUUAUAUUCAACCUUCAAGAUCCGCUACUUGAAGAAACCAGUGUGUAAGGACCAGGUCUAGCAGAUCCAUCAAAAUAGAUAGUUCAAUCAGAAAAGCAUGCAAGCUGUGCAACCUUACAGCAGACUACCAGGUUAGUUCUGUG